CAAAAGUCUCACAGCAGAACGAGACAACCUGAAGGGACAACUAAAUACCUGCACUUCACAGCUAAAUUCUUUGACCAAUGAGAGAGACACACUGAAGAGGAAAAACACAGCUAUCGAGGUCACAUCCAGGAGUCUGACAACAGAACGAGACAACCUGAAGAGACAACUGAAUACCUGC